rnacentral:rRNA from 1 species
CCUAACACAUGCAAGUCGAACGGUAACAGGAAACAGCUUGCUGUUUCGCUGACGAGUGGCGGACGGGUGAGUAAUGUCUGGGAAACUGCCUGAUGGAGGGGGAUAACUACUGGAAACGGUAGCUAAUACCGCAUAACGUCGCAAGACCAAAGAGGGGGACCCUCGGGCCUCUUGCCAUCGGAUGUGCCCAGAUGGGAUUAGCUUGUUGGGGGGGUAACGGCUCACCAAGGCGACGAUCCCAAGCUGGUCUGAGAGGAUGACCAGCCACACUGGAACUGAGACACGGUCCAGACUCCUACGGGAGGCAGCAGUGGGGAAUAUUGCACAAUGGGCGCAAGCCUGAUGCAGCCAUGCCGCGUGUAUGAAGAAGGCCUUCGGGUUGUAAAGUACUUUCAGCGGGGAGGAAGGGAGUAAAGUUAAUACCUUUGCUCAUUGACGUUACCCGCAGAAGAAGCACCGGCUAACUCCGUGCCAGCAGCCGCGGUAAUACGGAGGGUGCAAGCGUUAAUCGGAAUUACUGGGCGUAAAGCGCACGCAGGCGGUUUGUUAAGUCAGAUGUGAAAUCCCCGGGCUCAACCUGGGAACUGCAUCUGAUACUGGCAAGCUUGAGUCUCGUAGAGGGGGGUAGAAUUCCAGGUGUAG